GGGGAAUAUUGCGCAAUGGGGGGAACCCUGACGCAGCGACGCCGCGUGAGUGAAGAAGGUCUUCGGAUCGUAAAGCUCUGUCAUCGGGGACGAAGGUAUGACGGUACCCGAAGAGGAAGCCCCGGCUAACUACGUGCCAGCAGCCGCGGUAAUACGUAGGGGGCGAGCGUUGUCCGGAAUUACUGGGCGUAAAGGGUGCGUAGGCGGCCUGAUAAGUCAGGUGUGAAAUACCAGGGCUCAACCCUGGGGGUGCACUUGAAACUGUCGGGCUUGAGUGCAGGAGAGGAAAGCGGAAUUCCCAGUGUAGCGGUGAAAUGCGUAGAUAUUGGGAGGAACACCAGUGGCGAAGGCGGCUUUCUGGACGGUAACUGACGCUGAGGCGCGAAAGCGUGGGGAGCAAACAGGA
rnacentral:rRNA from 1 species